UACAGAGGUCUCAAGCGUUGUUCGGAAUCACUGGGCGUAAAGGGUGCGUAGGUGGCGUGGUAAGUCAGAUGUGAAAGCCCGGGGCUCAACCUCGGAAUUGCAUCCGAUACUGCCGUGCUAGAGUACUGAAGAGGUGACUAGAAUUCUCGGUGUAGCAGUGAAAUGCGUAGAUAUCGAGAGGAAUACCAACGGCGAAGGCAGGUCACUGGGCAGUUACUGACACUGAGGCACGAAGGCCAGGGGAGC
rnacentral:rRNA from 1 species